AGGCAUCCUCAACGAACUGUUCUGAGAAGUUGGCCUUCUGGAAGGGGUCGAAAUACCCUGCCGGAUUGCCUGCCAUCCACGAGUAUACCCGUGUGGAGCUGAGCCACUGGAGGAACAGAUAGGCGGCCUCCGGAUUGGCGCUGUUGGAACUCACUGUGCCGGUGAUGUUGUAGUAAAUCACCGAACGGCGCACCAGAUCGCCAUCAUGGUUCACACCGGGUGGAAUAUAGGCGC
rnacentral:ncRNA from 1 species